UACGUAGGGUGCGAGCGUUGUCCGGAAUUAUUGGGCGUAAAAGAGCUUGUAGGCGGUUUGUCGCGUCUGCUGUGAAAAUCCGAGGCUCAACCUCGGACUUGCAGUGGGUACGGGCAGACUAGAGGUAGGUAGGGGAGAUCGGAAUUCCUGGUGUAGCGGUGAAAUGCGCAGAUAUCAGGAGGAACACCGGUGGCGAAGGCGGAUCUCUGGGCCUUACCUGACGCUCAGGCGCGAAAGCAUGGGGAGCAAACAGG
rnacentral:rRNA from 1 species